CGUAGGCAGGAAACCCGGGUCCAAAGU
rnacentral:piRNA from 1 species